AUUUCUAUUCCUUAACCUGAUAGAAUUUGAAAUCCAGACUUCCGGGUAAUCAUGGCUGCAAUCUAGACGCCACACGCUUCCUCUCCCCGGCACCGAACGAAAUAGACUACAUCAAAGGAGCAUAAAAUCACCUUUGGAGGAACAGAAGGACUCCCCAGUACCCCCACAGAGGCAAAGAAUUCUCAGAUGGAGAAAUUGACUCCACUAAAGUAAGUCAACAUUUUUAAUUAAUUAAUUUUUAUUUUUAUAUAUUAUCUGUAUUAUUGUUUCCAUUUUACAAAUGAGCAAGAUGAUUUGAGAAAGCUUCUAUGACUUACCCAAUACCACAAAACUGGUAAAUGCCAGAACCAGC
rnacentral:lncRNA from 1 species